rnacentral:rRNA from 1 species
CCCGCAACGAGCGCAACCCUUGUCUUUAGUUGCCAUCAUUAAGUUGGGCACUCUAGAGAGACUGCCAGGGAUAACCUGGAGGAAGGUGGGGAUGACGUCAAAUCAUCAUGCCCCUUAUGCUUAGGGCUACACACGUGCUACAAUGGGUAGUACAGAGGGUUGCCAAGCCGUAAGGUGGAGCUAAUCCCUUAAAGCUACUCUCAGUUCGGAUUGUAGGCUGAAACUCGCCUACAUGAAGCUGGAGUUACUAGUAAUCGCAGAU